CCUACGGGUGGCAGCAGUGAGGAAUAGUGGUCAAUGGACGAGAGUCUGAACCAGCCAAGUAGCGUGAAGGAUGACUGCCCUAUGGGUUGUAAACUUCUUUUAUAAAGGAAUAAAACGAGGCACGUGUGCCUUUUUGCAUGUACUUUAUGAAUAAGGAUCGGCUAACUCCGUGCCAGCAGCCGCGGUAAUACGGAGGAUCCGAGCGUUAGCCGGAUUGAGUGGGUUUAAAGGGAGCGUAGAGGGGUUGUUAAGUCAGUUGUGACAGUUGGCGGCUCCACCGUAAAAUUGCAAUUGAUACUGGCAGUCUUGCGUACAGUUGCGUUAGGCGGCCUUCGUGUUGUAGCCGU
rnacentral:rRNA from 1 species